rnacentral:rRNA from 1 species
UACGUAGGGGGCGAGCGUUGUCCGGAUUUAUUGGGCGUAAAGAGCGCGUAGGCGGCCAGGUAGGUCCGUUGUGAAAACUCGAGGCUCAACCUCGAGACGUCGAUGGAAACCAUCUGGCUAGAGUCCGGAAGAGGAGAGUGGAAUUCCUGGUGUAGCGGUGAAAUGCGCAGAUAUCAGGAAGAACACCGGUGGCGAAGGCGGAUCUCUGGGCCGCUACUGACGCUGAGGAGCGAAAGCGUGGGGAGCGAACAGG